AACGAACGCUGGCGGCGUGCCUAAUACAUGCAAGUUGAGCGCUGAAGGUUGGUACUUGUACCGACUGGAUGAGCAGCGAACGGGUGAGUAACGCGUGGGGAAUCUGCCUUUGAGCGGGGGACAACAUUUGGAAACGAAUGCUAAUACCGCAUAAAAACUUUAAACACAAGUUUUAAGUUUGAAAGAUGCAAUUGCAUCACUCAAAGAUGAUCCCGCGUUGUAUUAGCUAGUUGGUGAGGUAAAGGCUCACCAAGGCGAUGAUACAUAGCCGACCUGAGAGGGGGAUCGGCCACAUUGGGACUGAGACACGGCCCAAACUCCUACGGGAGGCAGCAGUAGGGAAGCUUCGGCAAUGGAUGAAAGUCUGACCGAGCAACGCCGCGUGAGUGAAGAAGGUUUUCGGAUCGUAAAACUCUGUUGGUAGAGAAGAACGUUGGUGAGAGUGGAAAGCUCAUCAAGUGACGGUAACUACCCAGAAGGGGACGGCUAACUACGUGCCAGCCGCCGCGGUAA
rnacentral:rRNA from 1 species